rnacentral:rRNA from 1 species
GAUGAACGCUGGCGGCGUGCCUAAUACAUGCAAGUCGAGCGAACGGACGAGAAGCUUGCUUCUCUGAUGUUAGCGGCGGACGGGUGAGUAACACGUGGAUAACCUACCUAUAAGACUGGGAUAACUUCGGGAAACCGGAGCUAAUACCGGAUAAUAUUUUGAACCGCAUGGUUCAAAAGUGAAAGACGGUCUUGCUGUCACUUAUAGAUGGAUCCGCGCUGCAUUAGCUAGUUGGUAAGGUAACGGCUUACCAAGGCAACGAUGCAUAGCCGACCUGAGAGGGUGAUCGGCCACACUGGAACUGAGACACGGUCCAGACUCCUACGGGAGGAAGCAGUAGGGAAUCUUCCGCAAUGGGCGAAAGCCUGACGGAGCAACGCCGCGUGAGUGAUGAAGGUCUUCGGAUCGUAAAACUCUGUUAGUAGGGAAGAACAUAUGUGUAAGUAACUGUGCACAUCUUGACGGUACCUAAUCAGAAAGCCACGGCUAACUACGUG